GAAACCAUCUGAGAGCUUGAACUUGUAAAAAUUGAGAGACAGCAUGGUGUAAUCCAAGGGAGUAUGGAGUUACCUUAGGCCAUCUGGAGACUAAUCUCAACUCCACCCUACUAUAGGUUUGUGACCUUGGGCAAGUUACUUAAUCAUCAUCUGUUUAUCUCCAAAAUGAAGUUAGACCCUUCCAGCUAUUCUCUGGGAACUGGCUGAGAUCACUUCCAAAGAGUACUUCUUAUUACUAUAACCUAAACUUGAAUCUACUGCUGACAGAGAGUUUAAAUAAUACGUUUAUACUCUUCCUUGAGGCAUUGAAAACCACACCCUGCAGGCAGAUGGGAUAAAGCCAAGAUUUCACCAUGGAUCCAAUGGAAAAUACUGUUCUUCAAGUGAGAGAAACCAAGUCACAAAACAGCAGCCACAAAUUCC